CUGAAUGCUGAACUGGGUGCAAUGUGACCAAUGGACUCAAGUUCUUGCCAUCUCCCUGAUGGACUCCUUGAAACUGUGAGGGUUAUGACUAGAAGCUGUUGGAGCUGUUGGAAGGGCUGAGAUUGCCAGGGUGCAGAAGAGAGUCAGUCACCAUUUUCAGUUCAAAAUCCUGGUUGCUAGAGCAAGACUCACAAAGCUCCAAGUGCUCCGGGUUCCUGGGGGUCCCCAGACCACACCGGGACUUCCUACCUCAGAAUCAUCAUCAGAUGGGAAGUCAAGUUGGAAUUUCUGACAGAGGAACUCAGAAACAGAGACCACUGUUGACUUCAUAAAACUGAUAGGCCUGUUAUGUUUUCUUUGUAUUUUACC
rnacentral:lncRNA from 1 species